ensembl:lncRNA
AACGGAGAAAGAUGGCCUAUAAGUAAAGAUAAUUAUGUGGAUUGAUAAUAGGCUUAAACAAUUGUAUCCAAAGUAAGAAAUGGAAUAUUUCCUGUUAUAUCAGUAAACAAGGAUGUCACAGUCAUCAGCAAUUGCAGCCACUAUGGAUAGUGAGCCAGUGAGCCCGAGGAAAUUCACCUAGGGAAAGAAUACCUGUCAUCUAGCCAUCAGACUGCACCCCUCCCCACAGUGAGCCCUGAAGAAACUCAGCAGUAGGGAUAUCGCUCCCAAAGAAAAGGCAGCAUGUUCAUGACGUAACAGCAACAUUAACAGAAGGUGAUUAUGACAAUGGAAAAGGAUGUAAGAAAAAUAUGAGUGCCUCUCCUGGCUCAUUUCCUUUACCAGAUAAACACUGUUGAGUUUGUUAAACAGGAACAGAAUAGGCAUUGGGAAGAAGAAAGAAACUCAGAGUGGAGCGAGAUAAGGACAAACUGGAACCUCCUGGCACCUCUGCAUCUCUGUUCUUUAUCACCUUUAAGCAACAACAGCUCUUUCACAUCUACCUCCCAAAUUUCAUGUAAAACGUCUCUGGUAGCAAGUCCUACUCUGAAC